rnacentral:rRNA from 1 species
AUUGAACGCUGGCGGCGUGCUUAACACAUGCAAGUCGAGCGGUAACAGGCGUAGCAAUACGUGCUGACGAGCGGCGAACGGGUGCGUAAUACAUGGGAAUCUGCCCUUUGGUGGGGAAUAACCCGGCGAAAGCCGGGCUAAUGCCGCAUGAGAUCUUCGGAUGAAAGCGGGGGAUCGUAAGACCUCGCGCCGAUGGCUGAGCCCAUGUCGGAUUAGCUAGUUGGUGAGGUAACGGCUCACCAAGGCGACGAUCCGUAGCUGGUCUGAGAGGACGGCCAGCCACACUGGGACUGAGACACGGCCCAGACUCCUACGGGAGGCAGCAGUGGGGAAUAUUGGACAAUGGGCGAAAGCCUGAUCCAGCGACGCCGCGUGUGUGAAGAAGGCCUGCGGGUUGUAAAGCACUUUCGAUGGGAACGAAAUGUGCCGGGCUAAUACCCCGGCAAGCUGACGUUACUCAAUGAAGAAGCACCGGCUAACUCUGUGCCAGCCGCCGCCGUAAAAC